rnacentral:lncRNA from 7 species
CCCCUCCCCACUCCUCGUCCAUUUGUGCCCACGCCGUGAGCCCCUCCUCAUCCCAUCGCCGCGAAAGAGCAUGAACCGGAAGCGAGCCGCCAUGGACGGUCUUCACCCUGACCAUCGAUCCAGCCAUAGGGAAUGAUCCAGGGUGGAGAGCAGGGCAUAGGGGAGGUGCGCGGACUGACCCAGGGGCUCGGUGGUGUCUGGGACAUCAUCAAUUGAUCGUUGAAGUGUAGGCAACUCCGAUGUGUCGCCCUUCCCCGUUGCCAAGGUUCUACGUGACUUGGUAGCCGGUAAUAAGCCCUUCUUCGUUUUGUGCUCGCUUUCGUAUCAUGUGGCACCAGUUGAUCUGGAGAUUGGGUCACCUGUGGGCCGUCUUAGACUUCUCCGGCGUGACCGCCGCCGCGGGUCGGAGGAAGGGGGUGGAGAGAAGGGUCUCCAUUCGAUCUGGUAUGGACGAUUGAGAUUAGAAGCUAGAAUACCCUUUCGUCUAUUGAAUCCAAGUUGUAGAUCUCAGGGUGGGCAGAUCUAGAAUGAUCAGAACGUGGAUAUGCCACAUGACCGUCGAUCCCUGAUCCGGUGGUCCCUGUUGCGCACUGAGUCGAUGAUGGGCAUAAUCUAAUCUGGCCCAGCGAUCCUAGAUCGGACGACGUAGAUCAGCCCGUACCCCUUCGCCACGGGCGAGUUUAUUAAAGAGACCCUCGGAAAUAAGAAAAUCAACCCGCAGUCCUGAGUGGUUAUAAAACCAUUGCUCUCAGGUCCUUUCCUUUGCAAUCAGCACCCUUACCUUUACCAAAAUAGAAGUCGUCGU